GAAAUGCGAUAAGUAAUGUGAAUUGCAGAAUUCAGUGAAUCAUCGAAUCUUUGAACGCACAUUGCGCCCGCCAGUAUUCUGGCGGGCAUGCCUGUCCGAGCGUCAUUUCAACCAUCAAGCCCCCGGGUUUGUGUUGGGGACCUGCGGCUGCCCGCAGGCCCUGAAAACCAGUGGCGGGCUCGCUGUCACACCGAGCGUAGUAGCAAUCACCUCGCUCAGGGCGUGCUGCGGGUUCCGGCCGUUAAACAGCCUUACAAAACCCAAGGUUGACCUCGGAUCAGGUAGGAAGACCCGCUGAACUUAAGC
rnacentral:misc_RNA from 1 species